GCCGUCUUAGCUCAGCCGGUAGAGCGAGCGCGUGGCUUUUAACCACGUGGUCAUGGGUUCGAUUCCCACAGACGGUG
rnacentral:tRNA from 1 species